GCCCGGUUAGCUCAGCUGGUUAGAGCGUGGUACUAAUACCGGGUUACCCCCGUAUAUGGUAUAUGCCAAGGUCAACAGUUCAAUCCUGUUACUGGGCA